rnacentral:rRNA from 1 species
GAUGAACGCUGGCGGCGGGCCUAAUACAUGCAAGUCGAGCGAACAGACGAGGAGCUUGCUCCUCUGACGUUAGCGUCGGACGGGUGAGUAACACGUGGAUAACCUACCUAUAAGACUGGGAUAACUUCGGGAAACCGGAGCUAAUACCGGAUAAUAUAUUGAACCGCAUGGUUCAAUAGUGAAAGACGGUUUUGCUGUCACUUAUAGAUGGAUCCGCGCCGCAUUAGCUAGUUGGUAAGGUAACGGCUUACCAAGGCGACGAUUCGUAGCCGACCUGAGAGGGUGAUCGGCCACACUGGAACUGAGACACGGUCCAGACUCCUACGGGAGGCAGCAGUAGGGAAUCUUCCGCAAUGGGCGAAAGCCUGACGGAGCAACGCCGCGUGAGUGAUGAAGGUCUUCGGAUCGUAAAACUCUGUUAUUAGGGAAGAACAAAUGUGUAAGUAACUAUGCACGUCUUGACGGUACCUAAUCAGAAAGCCACGGCUAACUACGUG